GGUUCCCGCCUGCGCCUCUCCCUCCACACCGCCUUGCAAGCUGAGGGAGCCGGCUCCGGCCUCUGCCAGCCCAGGAAGGGGCUCCCACAGUGCAGCGGCGGGCUGAAGGACUCCUCAAGUGCCACCAAAGUGGGAGCCCAGGCAGAGGAGGCGCCGAGAGCGAGCGAGGGCUGCCUGCCAGCACGCUGUCACGUCUCAGCAAUAGACUGCUCUUGAGGCUGGAGUGCAAUGUUGUUAUCAUAGCUCACUGCAACCUGGAACCCCUAGUCUCAAGAGAUCCUCCAGCCUCAGCCUCCCUGUUCCAGGAUACAUGUGCAGGAUGUGCAAGUUUGCUACAUGGGUAAAUAUGUGCCAUGGCAGUUUGCUGCAUCUAUUAACCCAUUACCUAGGUAUUAAGCCCGGAAAUAAGAAUGGCAGAAAUGUGAAGAGUUAUUGUGUGGGGAAGUGGCCUCUACAUAGAAAUGUUUUUCCACUGAAUGUUCCUGUUGUGCUGAUGAACAAAGGAGUUCAUCACAGGCCAGAAACUAAGAUAGAUAGAUAAAUAAAUAAAUAAAUAAAUAA
rnacentral:lncRNA from 1 species